rnacentral:sRNA from 1 species
UAUUCUGCCCCACGGGGAAGGAUGAGAACCUUCGACUAAGGUUCGACUCGAGCGAAGCGAGAGAACGUUGCCGCAGGCAACGGCCCGAAGGGCGAGGCGCUUUAGCGCCGAGUAAUCCUUCCCCCACCACCA